rnacentral:lncRNA from 1 species
CAGAAUCUCACUCUGUCACCCAGACUGGAGUGCAGUGGCAAGAUCUCAGCUCACUGCAACCUCCGCCUCCUGGCUUCAAGCGAUUAUCCUGCCUCAGCCUCCCAAGUAGCUGGGAUUACAAGCAUGUACCACUACACCCAGAUAAGUUUUUUUGUAUUUUUAGUAGAAACUGGACUUCACCUUAUUGGCCAGGCUGGUCUCGAACACUUGACCCCAAGUGAUUCACCUACCUUAGCCUCCCAAAGUGUUGGGAUUACAGGCAUGAGCCACUGUGCCCAGACUAAAAUGCCAUCCAUUUUAAAACAAACUGUUGUUUUAUUCAAAACUAAGAAAAUAAUUUGCUGCUAGACUGUGGAACACAUCUUUAUUACCACUUAUAAUCUUUUUAUGCUUAGUCAAAGAGCUAUUUGAUGUAGACAUAAGUUUUUAAAAAUUAUUAUUGUAUAUUAUUCUUUUGUAUAUAUUAAAUGAAAAAUAUAUGGAAAGUACGUUAGUUAAUGUGUUCUUAAAAUAUCUUCACAUUCAAAAUUUCUCUCUUUUAAAUCAAGUUGGGACCCAAAGGCAUCAAUAUCAGGGGUCCUCCCCCUGUGCCCCUGAAAAAUAAUCCCCUGUUCCAUCAAGGUUCUCGCUGCAAUAUUUCUGCAAUGAGUCCACACUGUCAUCUCUUAUUUCAAGACUAGUUAAAAUGCUAGUUAAAAUGGCACUUUUUUAUCUUGGCAGAAUGUAUUGACAAUAACACGUAUUUCCUGACUACUAUCUAGGGAACAGAGACUGUAUAAGUCCUGAUUUAAUAAAUGUUAUAUAUUUCUAAUUCAUUAUUUUCCUCUUUAUUUUUAUCAUCUUGAGGAGUUUGGAGAAUGAAAUAACUUCUUAAGAAACAUCUUAAACAAGUCAGUUCAAGACUAUCUCUGCUGUCUAUGUAGAAAAUCCAAAAGGAUCAACAAAAUUAAUCCUGGACCUAACAAACAAUUACUGCAAAAUGGCAGGAUACAAUGGU